rnacentral:snRNA from 1 species
CGCCUAACGGCGUGCCUCGGCAU